CAUUGCUGACUUCUUUGCUAAGAGCAUUAACAAGGGGGAACAAUUAGUGCCCAUCACAAGGAAAGCUUUUGUAACAUGGGUGACUGCCCUCAAGAAACACUGUUGAGACCACCAACUGUUUUAUUUGUUUUUGUUCCAGUUUCUGCUGAUUGAGAAGCUCAUGAGAUACAUCUCAUUUCCCUGGAGGUCCUCGGGGAAGCAGUGGUCAGACAAUCCUUUCCUAGCCUGCUUUGGGCAACGCUGGUGGUACAGCACUGCUGGCACUGCAUGUGGGCUGCUGCGCUGGCACUGGGCUCCAUGGGCAGAGCGUGAUUCAGCCUUCAGUGUUACAGCAGUCAUUAUUGCAAAGGAGCAGUUUGGAACCAAACAGUGAUGGUCACAGAUACUGAACCAACUAGAUAAAGCACCAGUCUAAUACAUUUCUGUGAAGAGUUUCAAAGCUGGUGUUUCCCAGUGGAAAAAAUAUAGGAGCACACUUUUCAUCUCAUUCUACUUGACCCAGCAGAUUGAGCUGGGCUCCAGGAGUGACACACAUCUGAAAUGAGCUGUGAGGUGCAGCCAUGCUCUCCCUAUCACUCAGGUACCUUGCUUUCACAGUUCCAACCUGGGGCUAUGGUGUUUUUAUUAUGCCUAAUAGUGUUUGUUCCACAUGUAACUCCAUUUUGACUUUUUUCUUCCUUCCUCUCUUGGUUAGGAAGCCCACUGCUGGGGCACAGCUGUGGGACAGGAGCUGACGCCCGUGCCCAGCUGAUGAAGUGAAGGGACCGUGUGCUGCUGGCUCUGAAGUGAAAACAAUCACUCUGAAAUCUCAGAGCUUCCUCAGAAAUGUAAAAAAAUGGGGUGGGAGCACAAGUUAAUUGUGCUUUUACACACUGUUAUACUUGUCACCGUGCCAGACUCUACAUUUCUUCCAAGGGUGAAAUGAAAACUCCAAAUUCAUGUGGUUAUGAAACAAUUUCAGUAUGAGCACUCAGUGAAGAAUUAUAAAGUGGGAAAGACACAGUCCUCUGUCUCAGCUGGUUGAGAAGGCUCUGAAUUGAUCAAGGCUUCUUCCAGCUUGGAGGAGUUUUCUGGAGUGUAUUGAAAACAUUCUGCAUCUGCAUAUUGAAUGCAUAUAAAAUACUGCAGAAAAGCUGAUGUGUUAUGACAUUACUUUGAUUAGAAGAUGAGGCAACUGGCAGAAGGCAUCGUUGUCAUUCCAAAAAGUCUCAUUUCUUUGCAUCUAGAAAUUAGGAAAUGAGUCUGGUUUGCCUGGUUUACACCAGAAUAGACUCAUACAUUGCAAAUAUGGCAAGAACUCACUGGCACUACAGGGUACUCCUGGAGAUAAGAUCGUGCUGGGAGACCUGGAUGAGCAAGGACUGAACACCUUUUUCUCUGCCUACAGUGUAUGGUAACUGUUGAGUCAUGGCCUGAACCACUGAUUGAUCACCUGAGGCAAGGACUGGGU